rnacentral:rRNA from 1 species
AUACGUAGGGGGCGAGCGUUGUCCGGAAUGAUUGGGCGUAAAGGGCGCGUAGGCGGCCCGGUAAGUCUGGAGUGAAAGUCCUGUUUUUAAGAUGGGAAUUGCUUUGGAUACUGUCGGGCUUGAGUGCAGGAGAGGUAAGUGGAAUUCCCAGUGUAGCGGUGAAAUGCGUAGAGAUUGGGAGGAACACCAGUGGCGAAGGCGAAUUACUGGACUGUAACUGACUCUGAGGCGCGAAAGUGUGGGGAGCAAACAGGAUUAGAUACCCUGGUGGUCCACACUGUAAACGAUGAAUGCUAGGUGUAGGGGGUAUCGACCCCUUCUGUGCCGCAGUCAACACAAUAAGCAUUCCGCCUGGGGAGUACGGCCGCAAGGUUGAAACUCAAAUGAAUUGACGGGG